UUGUAACGGCGAGUGAAGCGGGAUGAGCUCAAAUUUAAAAUCUGGCGGUCUCAGAUCGUCCGAGUUGUAGUCUAGAGAAGCGUUUUCCGUGUUGGCCUGUGUACAAGUCCGUUGGAACACGGCGUCAUAGAGGGUGAGAAUCCCGUCCUUGACACAGAUCUCCAGUGCUUUGUGAUGCGUUCUCAAAGAGUGGAGUUGUUUGGGAAUGCAGCUCAAAAUGGGUGGUAAAUUCCAUCUAAAGCUAAAUAUUGGCGAGAAACCGAUAGCGAACAAGUACCGUGAGGGAAAGAUGAAAAGCACUUUGGAAAGAGAGUUAAACAGUACGUGAAAUUGUUGAAAGGGAAACGAUUGAAGUCAGUCAUGCUUUCCGAGAUUCAGCCGGUUCUGCCGGUGUACUUCUCGGUUUGCAGGCCAGCAUCAUUUUUGGGCGGUGGAAAAGGUGGGCGGGAAUGUGGCAUCCUCGGAUGUGUUAUAGCCCGCUUUCGAAUACAUCGCCCGGGACUGAGGAACGCAGCACGCCUCUUGUAGGUCGGUUUUCGGACACGUCCGUGCUAGGAUG
rnacentral:rRNA from 1 species